rnacentral:rRNA from 1 species
AUUGAACGCUGGCGGCAUGCCUUACACAUGCAAGUCGAACGGCAGCACGGGAGCUUGCUCCUGGUGGCGAGUGGCGAACGGGUGAGUAAUACAUCGGAACGUACCCAGGAGUGGGGGAUAACGUAGCGACAGUUACGCUAAUACCGCAUAUUCUGUGAGCAGGAAAGCGGGGGAUCGCAAGACCUCGCGCUCUUGGAGCGGCCGAUGUCGGAUUAGCUAGUUGGUGAGGGAAAAGCUCACCAAGGAGACGAUCCGUGGCAGGUCUGAGAGGAGGAUCGGCAAAACUGGGACGGAGACAGGGCCAAGACUCCUACGGUAGGCAGCAGUGGGGAAGUUUGGACAAUGGGGGCAACCCUGAUCCAGCCAUGCCGCGUGAGUGAAGAAGGCCUUCGGGUUGUAAAGCUCUUUCGGCGGGGAAGAAAUGGCAACGGCUAAUAUCCGUUGUUGAUGACGGUACCCGCAUAAGAAGCACCGGCUAACUACGUGCCAGCAGCCGCAGUAA